rnacentral:tRNA from 1 species
GCCCUGGUGGUGAAAUUGGUAGACACGCCACCUUGAGGGGGUGGUGACCUUUGGUUGUGCUGGUUCGAGUCCAGUUCAGGGCAC